rnacentral:rRNA from 1 species
GUGGGGAAUAUUGCACAAUGGGCGAAAGCCUGAUGCAGCAACGCCGCGUGAAGGAUGAAGGUCUUCGGAUCGUAAACUUCUGUCCUAAGGGAAGAAUAAAUGACGGUACCUUUGGAGGAAGCCCCGGCUAACUACGUGCCAGCAGCCGCGGUAAUACGUAGGGGGCAAGCGUUAUCCGGAAUUAUUGGGCGUAAAGAGUGCGUAGGCGGUUUCUUAAGCGCGGGGUGAAAGGCAGUGGCUUAACCAUUGUUAGCCUUGCGAACUGGGAGACUUGAGUGCUGGAGAGGAAAGCGGAAUUCCUAGUGUAGCGGUGAAAUGCGUAGAUAUUAGGAGGAACACCAGUGGCGAAGGCGGCUUUCUGGACAGUAACUGACGCUGAGGCACGAAAGUGUGGGGAGCAAACAGG